rnacentral:rRNA from 1 species
UACGUAGGGUGCAAUCGUUAAUCGGAAUUACUGGGCGUAUAGCGUGCGCAGGCGGUUGUGCAAGACAGAUGUGAAAUCCCCGGGCUCAACCUGGGAACUGCAUUUGUGACUGCACGGCUGGAGUGCGGCAGAGGGGGAUGGAAUUCCGCGUGUAGCAGUGAAAUGCGUAGAUAUGCGGAGGAACACCGAUGGCGAAGGCAAUCCCCUGGGCCUGCACUGACGCUCAUGCACGAAAGCGUGGGGAGCAAACAGGAUUAGAUACCCUGGUAGUCCACGCCCUAAACGAUGUCAACUGGUUGUUGGGUGGGUUUCUACUCAGUAACGUAGCUAACGCGUGAAGUUGACCGCCUGGGGAGUACGGCCGCAAGGUUGAA